GUGGUAGUGUCUGCCUGAUAACAUGACACUGGGCAGUGACAAGUGGUCAUGUUUCUAAAUAAAACCCACAUUCAUUAACAUGUGCCAGGCCUGAUCUCCUGGAAUGUAGGCCACGGGAGUAAGAAGGGGAAGCAGCUCAGCGUAAUCCCCCAAGGAGGAGGAGGCUACAGGUCUGAAGAAAGAGAGCAAAAAUAAUGCGGCUACAGACUCCCUGCCUCCUUCUGGGAGGACAGUCACUUUGCUUGCGGGCUGUGUCAGGCUGGAGGGUCACGUGGAAAAGAAACGCAUACAUGCCGAAGGACAGACCCAACCUCCACAGCUACAGCCAACUGUGCCAGUUGCCCACACGGGGCAACUUCUCUUUUCCUUCAGUUCACUCCACAGCUCAGCAGUGAUGUUGGCUACCUAUGAUGCCUCUGAAAUAAAGAUCUUUUCUUAGGAAUGGUCA